rnacentral:tRNA from 1 species
GGAAGAAUGGCUGAGAGGCUGAAGGCACGCCCCUGCUAAGGGCGCAGACUGGCUAUAACCGGUCUCGAGGGUUCGAAUCCCUCUUCUUCCG